GCCGAAGUGAUGGAACUGGUAGACGUGCGGCGUUCAGGGCGCCGUGGGCUUAGGCCCGUGUGGGUUCGAAUCCCACCUUCGGCACCA
rnacentral:tRNA from 1 species